ACAUGGGCGAAAGCCUGAUCCAGCAAUGCCGCGUGAGUGAUGAAGGCCUUAGGGUUGUAAAGCUCUUUUACCAGGGAUGAUAAUGACAGUACCUGGAGAAUAAGCUCCGGCUAACUCCGUGCCAGCAGCCGCGGUAAUACGGAGGGAGCUAGCGUUGUUCGGAAUUACUGGGCGUAAAGCGCGCGUAGGCGGCGAUCCAAGUCAGGGGUGAAAUCCCGGGGCUCAACCCCGGAACUGCCCUUGAAACUAGGUUGCUAGAAUACUGGAGAGGUGAGUGGAAUUCCGAGUGUAGAGGUGAAAUUCGUAGAUAUUCGGAAGAACACCAGUGGCG
rnacentral:rRNA from 1 species